UGGGGAAUAUUGCACAAUGGGCGCAAGCCUGAUGCAGCGACGCCGCGUGCGGGAUGACGGCCUUCGGGUUGUAAACCGCUUUUGAUCGGGAGCAAGCCUUCGGGUGAGUGUACCUUUCGAAUAAGCACCGGCUAACUACGUGCCAGCAGCCGCGGUAAUACGUAGGGUGCAAGCGUUAUCCGGAAUUAUUGGGCGUAAAGGGCUCGUAGGCGGUUCGUCGCGUCCGGUGUGAAAGUCCAUCGCUUAACGGUGGAUCUGCGCCGGGUACGGGCGGGCUGGAGUGCGGUAGGGGAGACUGGAAUUCCCGGUGUAACGGUGGAAUGUGUAGAUAUCGGGAAGAACACCAAUGGCGAAGGCAGGUCUCUGGGCCGUUACUGACGCUGAGGAGCGAAAGCGUGGGGAGCGAACAGGAUUAGAUACCCUGGUAGUCCACGCCGUAAACGGUGGAUGCUGGAUGUGGGGCCCGUUCCACGGGUUCCGUGUCGGAGCUAACGCGUUAAGCAUCCCGCCUGGGGAGUACGGCCGCAAGGCUAAAACUCAAAGAAAUUGACGGGGGCCCGCACAAGCGGCGGAGCAUGCGGAUUAAUUCGAUGCAACGCGAAGAACCUUACCUGGGCUUGACAUGUUCCCGACAGCCGUAGAGAUGCGGCCUCCCUUCGGGGCGGGUUCACAGGUGGUGCAUGGUCGUCGUCAGCUCGUGUCGUGAGAUGUUGGGUUAAGUCCCGCAACGAGCGCAACCCUCGCCCUGUGUUGCCAGCACGUCAUGGUGGGAACUCACGGGGGACCGCCGGGGUCAACUCGGAGGAAGGUGGGGAUGACGUCAGAUCAUCAUGCCCCUUACGUCCAGGGCUUCACGCAUGCUACAAUGGCCGGUACAACGGGAUGCGACAUGGCGACAUGGAGCGGAUCCCUGAAAACCGGUCUCAGUUCGGAUUGGAGUCUGCAACCCGACUCCAUGAAGGCGGAGUCGCUAGUAAUCGCGGACCAGCGACGCCGCGGUGAAUGCGUUCCC
rnacentral:rRNA from 1 species